AAGAAUUUAGCUUAAUGAAAGUAUUCGAUUUGCGUUCGAGUGAUGCAGGGUAGAAUCUUGCAGUUCUUA
rnacentral:tRNA from 1 species